AUUGAACGCUGGCGGCAUGCUUUACACAUGCAAGUCGAACGGCCGCGCGGGCUUCGUCCUGGUCGCGAGUUGCCAACGGGUGAGUAAUUCAUCGGUACGUGCCCUGCCGUGGGGGCUAGCCCGGCGACAGCCGGCUUAAUAUCGCACACGACCUUAGGUUGAAACCGGGGGUCCGAAAGGGCUAGCGCGUUUUGCGCGGACGUUGUCGGAUUAGCUAGUUGGUUGGGUAAAGGCUUACCAAGGCGACGAUCCGUAGCUGGUCUGAGAGGACGACCUGCCACACUGGAACUGAGACACGGCCCAGACUCCUACGGGAGGCAGCAGUGGGGAAUCUUCGACAAUGGGGGCAACCCUGACCGAGCAAUGCCGCGUGCGGGAUGAAGGCCUUCGGGUUGUAAAACGCUUUUGUUCGGGAAGAAAACAUCUGGGCUAAUACCCCGAGGGGAUGACGGUACCGAAAGAAUAAGCACCGGCUAACUACGUG
rnacentral:rRNA from 1 species